GGUCAAAUUGUGAAGAUGCUGAACCUUCCAAGAUACUACGGAAAACUUGAAAAUGAUUUCAAGUUAUGUAAACUUAUGAAACUUUACUCCCCAAUGGACAAAGCCAAUUUUCUAGAUCUUCUAAUAUCUCCUUUAAAGCAUGCUGUCCAGUAUAAUAAGAGUAUAAAGAACAAUAAGGGAGAACAGAUUUUCUUCAGCAUGGAUGAAUUUUGUAACAUUAUGGCUAACACCUCAUUGGGUUCUCCAUACUAUAGAUACCUUAGAAUUACGCAUUUAAAAUACAAGCUUGAAUAUGCG